rnacentral:rRNA from 1 species
CCUACGGGAGGCAGCAGUGAGGAAUAUUGGUCAAUGGGCGGGAGCCUGAACCAGCCAAGUCGCGUGAGGGAAGACGGUCCUAUGGAUUGUAAACCUCUUUAGGCGGGGAGCAAUGCCGGGCACGCGUGCCCGGAGGGAGAGUACCCGCAGAAUAAGCAUCGGCUAACUCCGUGCCAGCAGCCGCGGUAAUACGGAGGAUGCGAGCGUUAUCCGGAUUUAUUGGGUUUAAAGGGUGUGUAGGCGGGAUGCCAAGUCAGCGGUCAAAUACGGGGGCUCAACCUGCGUCCGCCGUUGAAACUGGCGUUCUUGAGUGGGCGAGAAGUACGCGGAAUGCGUGGUGUAGCGGUGAAAUGCAUAGAUAUCACGCAGAACCCCGAUUGCGAAGGCAGCGUACCGGCGCCCGACUGACGCUGAAGCACGAAAGCGUGGGUAUCGAACAGGAUUAGAUACCCCAGUAGUC